GCACUGCUGAGGAGUCCCACAAUAGUACGAGACGGCCGUCCAGUGC
rfam:Schistosoma haematobium scaffold450_7, whole genome shotgun sequence.